rnacentral:rRNA from 1 species
AUACAGAUAAUGUAGUUAAAUUUGUUUAGUAAGUAGUUAAUAUGGAAAGUUUAAUGUAAAGUUAGGUUUAUUAGGUGAAAUUUUAAAUUUAAUGUGAGUUAUAAAUUUUAUUAUGAGGCUAUGAGAUUUUUUAAUUAGACUAGGAUUAGAUACCCUAUUAUUGAAAAUGUAAAGUUAUUAUACUAGAAUAGUAGUAGUUAUGUUCUUGAAAUUUAAAGAAUUUGGCGGUAUUUUAGUCUAUUCAGAGGAACCUGUUCUAUAAUUGAUAGUCCACGAUUAAUUUUACUUAUUUUAAAGGUUUGUAUACCGUCGUAGUUUGAAUGUUUUAAGAGAAUUUUAAUGUUCAAGAUUCAUUAGUUUGAGGGAAAUCAGAUCAAGGUACAGCGCAUAGAUAAGGAGAAAUGGGUUACAAUAAAUUUAUUUAUAUGGUUAUAAUAGUUAACAUUAUUAUAUAAAGUGGAUUUGAAGGUAAUAUGAUUAAGUUAAAUCAUAUGAUUUUAGCUCUAGAAUAUGUACAUAUCGCCCGUCGCUCCCGCUUUAAGGUGGGAUAAGUCGUAACAAAGUAGGCGUACUGGAAAGUGUGCCUA